CCGUGAGCGUGCCUGUGAAACUGGGUGACUUGAGGGCAGGAGAGGGGAGUGGAAUUCCCAGUGUAGCGGUGAAAUGCGUAGAUAUUGGGAGGAACACCAGUGGCGAAGGCGGCUCUCUGGCCUGUUUCUGACGCUGAGGCGCGAAAGCGUGGGUAGCGAACGGGAUUAGAUACCCCGGUAGUCCACGCCGUAAACGAUGGGUGCUAGGUGUGGGAGGUAUCGACCCCUUCUGUGCCGUAGCUAACGCAAUAAGCACC
rnacentral:rRNA from 1 species